rnacentral:rRNA from 1 species
GACGAACGCUGGCGGCGUGCCUAAUACAUGCAAGUAGAACGCACAGUUUAUACCGUAGCUUGCUACACCAUAGACUGUGAGUUGCGAACGGGUGAGUAACGCGUAGGUAACCUGCCUGGUAGCGGGGGAUAACUAUUGGAAACGAUAGCUAAUACCGCAUAAUAUUAAUUAUUGCAUGAUAAUUAAUUGAAAGGUGCAAUUGCACCACUACCAGAUGGACCUGCGUUGUAUUAGCUAGUAGGUGAGGUAACGGCUCACCUAGGCGACGAUACAUAGCCGACCUGAGAGGGUGAUCGGCCACACUGGGACUGGGACCCGGCCCAGACUCCUACGGGAGGCGGCAGUAGGGAAUCUUCGGCAAUGGACGAAAGUCUGACCGAGCAACGCCGCGUGAGUGAAGAAGGUUUUCGGAUCGUAAAGCUCUGUUGUAAGAGAAGAACGGGUGUGAGAGUGGAAAGUUCACACUGUGACGGUAUCUUACCAGAAAGGGGCGGCUAACUACGUG